rnacentral:rRNA from 1 species
GACGAACGCUGGCGGCGUGCUUAACACAUGCAAGUCGAACGGAAAGGCCCUGCUUUUGUGGGGUGCUCGAGUGGCGAACGGGUGAGUAACACGUGAGUAACCUGCCCUUGACUUUGGGAUAACUUCAGGAAACUGGGGCUAAUACCGGAUAGGAGCUCCUGCUGCAUGGUGGGGGUUGGAAAGUUUCGGCGGUUGGGGAUGGACUCGCGGCUUAUCAGCUUGUUGGUGGGGUAGUGGCUUACCAAGGCUUUGACGGGUAGCCGGCCUGGGAGGGUGACCGGCCACAUUGGGACUGCGAUACGGCCCAGACUCCUACGGGAGGCAGCAGUGGGGAAUAUUGCACAGUGGGCGGGCGCCUGAUGCAGCAGCGCCGCGUGCGGGAUGCCGGCCUUCGGGUUGUAAACCGCUUUCGCCUGUGACGAAGCGUGAGUGACGGUAAUGGAUAAAGAAGCACCGGCUAACUACGUG